rnacentral:rRNA from 1 species
UACGAGAGGCCCAAACGUUAUUCGGAUUUACUGGGCUUAAAGAGUUCGUAGGCGGCGCAGAAAGUAGGGUGUGAAGGCCCUCGGCCUAACCGAGGAAUUGCGCUCUAAACUACUGUGCUUGAGGAAUCUAGAGGUGAGCGGAACUGAUGGUGGAGCGGUGAAAUGCGUUGAUAUCAUCAGGAACACCAGUGGCGAAGGCGGUCUGCUGGGGCAGUGGGAGCUUCGGCUCUCUUUAGCCGACACUGAGGCGCGGACAGCGUGGGGAGCAAACAGG